UACGUAGGGGGCUAGCGUUGUCCGGAAUCAUUGGGCGUAAAGAGCUCGUAGGCGGCUUGUCGCGUCGACUGUGAAAACCCGUGGCUCAACCAUGUGGUCUGCAGUCGAUACGGGCAGGCUAGAAUUCGGUAGGGGAGACUGGAAUUCCUGGUGUAGCGGUGAAAUGCGCAGAUAUCAGGAGGAACACCGGUGGCGAAGGCGGGUCUCUGGGCCGAUACUGACGCUGAGGAGCGAAAGCGUGGGGAGCGAACAGG
rnacentral:rRNA from 1 species